AACUGGUCAGGAGCUAACGCCACUCUCCUGACGAGGUCAUGACAGGCCGAAACCAGUU
rnacentral:hammerhead_ribozyme from 15 species